rnacentral:lncRNA from 1 species
CGGGCGCCGGUGUUGCAGAGCGCUGGCGGCGGCGCGUGCUGUGCCGCUGCGCGGGCGCGGUGGCGAGCUGGCUGCACGACGGCGCGUUCCUGUCGCUGCAACUGCACGCGCUGGCGCCGGCCCGCGCCUGCACCACCGUGUGGCUUAACGCCGCGUCGCAGGAGACGCAGUCGGAGCACGCGGGGCUGGCGACGCCGCUGCUGCGCGUCUACAACGAGGACGCCGCGCACUUCACACACAUCAUCGUGGCAACCGUGCCCAGCGAUUCGCCACAUCGCGCGACUUCGUCACCUAACGACGAGGACGAGGACGAGGACGAGGACGACGCUUCGGCCGGCGACGACACGGAGCCCAGCGCGGGCUACUACCGCGCGCUGCACCCGCCCGGCGCCGGGGCGUCCGCGUCGGAGCGGCGCGUGCUGGUGGCGGCCGGCG